GUGACGCGCGCGCGGGGUCUUGUCCUCGACCCUCGCUUGCCGGCUAGUCUGGUUUAGAGCAGAGUAGUCGGCCUUGAGGCGGGUUAGUGGCCAACGGCUCGCUCGCGGGCUGCUGCCGACCCCACCGUCCCGCACACUGCGCAGUCGAGAGAAAAUGGUGGGUCGGAACAGCGCCAUCGCCGCCGGUGUAUGCGGGGCCCUUUUCAUCGGGUACUGCAUUUACUUCGACCGCAAGAGACGGAGUGACCCCAAUUUCAAGAACAGGCUGCGAGAGCGAAGAAAGAAACAGAAGCUUGCCAAGGAGAGAGCUGGGCUUUCCAAGUUACCAGACCUUAAAGAUGCUGAAGCUGUUCAGAAAUUCUUCCUUGAAGAAAUACAGCUUGGUGAAGAGUUACUAGCCCAAGGUGAAUAUGAAAAGGGCGUGGACCAUUUGACAAAUGCAAUUGCAGUGUGUGGGCAGCCACAGCAGUUACUGCAAGUGUUACAGCAAACUCUGCCACCACCAGUGUUCCAGAUGCUUCUGACCAAGCUCCCAACGAUUAGUCAGGUGCCGUCGAGUUGGUUCCGACUCAUAGCGACCCUGUGCGCAACAGAACGAAACACUGCCCGGUCCUGCGCCAUCCUUAAAAUUGUUAUGCUUGAGCUCAGUGUUGCAGCCACUGUGUCAGUCCACCUUGUUGAGGGUCUUCUUCUUUUCCGCUGACCCUGUACUCUGCCAAGCAUGAUGUCCUCCUCCAGGGACUCAUCCCUCCUGAAAACAUGUCCAAAGUAUGGAAGAUGCAGUCUCGCCAUCCUUGCCUCUAAGGAGCAUUCUGGCCACACUUCUUCCAAGACAGAUGUGUUCCUUCUUUUGGCAGUCCAUGAGAAUCGUAAGUGCUCAGAGCUUGGCUGAAGACGAUGUGGAAUGAGAAAAAAAUGUCAACAUAAUAAAAUGUCAAUUAAAAAUACUUUAAAAAUUCUUAGCUUGGAAGAUGAGCCGCUCUAGGGGAAUAUGGGCAAAUAUGCUUGUUAUGGACUAUACUACACCGAAAUCUACCAAAGUUAAUUUUUACUUUGUGUAGAUUCAUUUGUUUUAUUUAUUUUUUCCCAGUGAAAAGUGUAUUUUGAUAGUUUUUCAUUUUAUAAAUACACUAUGAGUUACCAAAAAUAGCAUGGAUUUUGUUUAUUCCUAAAACACGCAAUUAAAAUGUACAUAUGACAUUACCUGUGUUAAGAAUACCCAGUACUCGGUUUUGAAAGAUGAGGGAAAAAGUAUAUGCUGAAGAAUACACAUUUUAAAAGCUAAUACAUUUCCUUAUACAUCAGAAAUUUGGGUGAAAACUUAAUUGUGUUUAUUAAAACUGAGCAUUAAAAUUGAGAAAUAAUUUUUUCCGGUUUAAUCUCUUAUAAAUACAUGAAGUGUGUUGCAGUGCUGUAUUAACUUUAUUCCCACCCCAUGUAUCAGUCUUGAGAUGUUUAAAUCA